UACGUUCCCGGGUCUUGUACACACCGCCCGUCAAACCAUGAAAGUCGCCAAUACCUGACGUGUUGCCAUCGCGCAGCCCUAAGGUAAGGGAGAUGAGUUGGGGUU
rnacentral:rRNA from 1 species